UACGAAGGGAGCUAGCGUUGUUCGGAAUCAUUGGGCGUAAAGGGCGCGUAGGCGGCGGGGUCAGUCGGGUGUGAAAUCUUGGGGCUUAACCCCGAAACGGCACUCGAAACUGCCCGGCUGGAGGGCCGGAGAGGAGAUCGGAAUUCACGGUGUAGCAGUGAAAUGCGUAGAGAUCGUGAGGAAGACCCGUGGCGAAGGCGGAUCUC
rnacentral:rRNA from 1 species